rnacentral:tRNA from 1 species
GCUGUAGUGGUUCAGUGGUAGAGUUCUCGCCUUUCAUGCAGGAUACCCAGGUUUGAUUCCCGGCUAAUGCA